UCGGCCGUGGUGCGCGGCGCACGCCCGCUUGUGGUAGCCAGGUUGCAACGAUGGAGAGCGGGAAGGCUGGGUUCGAUCCCCAGCCGCCGAA